rnacentral:misc_RNA from 1 species
UAGAACGACUAUUUGAGAUUAAAUUGUCCUUUAACACUCGGACGUUUUCUGCUCUAAUAAAAUUACGCUUUCGUCUUUUUUAUUAGCAUUUGCGAAAUUCUAAGAAGACUCGUGCAAAAUGGAGAGAAGAUACCGGAAAGACAAGGCGAGUUACUUCACGAAAUACGAGCCCACCUGUAAGAUAAGAAGUUCACUUCUACAAGCGAACACAAGAUUGACCAAUUACGUAACGGGACAUCAGGCCUUUCUUUAGGAAGAACGUAGCCACGGUCACGGGAUGAACGUUAUGUCUAACAGAAGAAGUACCGAUGUUGAGGGACACGCUGUAUUAACAAUCAAGCCCCAGCCAGGUGCAAUAUUGGCUUUACGCGGGACUGCCUAGUAACGGCGCUUGGAAUUUUGUUGAUAUUCCCCAUCAAUAUGUAAUUGACAAAUGUGACCGUAUCUGUCUUUUAUUUUUGCAAUCACCUUGGAGAGUUUACUGAUAUCGUCUAGGCAGUCAGUCUGGAAGUAACCCAGCGACUGAGCUGACGCGUCUGGGUGCUACAAAAUAUAUUCUAUUGUACAAAGAGUUUUCCCGUUGACCGUGGAUUCGUUAUUGAACCCAAGAACAUUGUCAAAAGCAUUCGUUAAAUUUAUUGUUCGUUAAACUAAUUAUUCGUUAAACUUUGUAAAGACAUAUUUAUACAUGUAAAUAUAAUCUUUAUUGUGCAUCACGAUGGCUAAUUCUAAUGAAAAAUUAUCACACGCCCGAAAUCCUAA